CCCUUCUCCAUCUCAAUCCCUAAAAUUUUCAUCACCAUCUUCUCCAGCUUUCUAUCAAAACCUCCAAUCCAAUCCAAUCCACCUGAAACUUUCUCCGAAACCCUAAAAGAUGUUGAGGCUGGUAUCGAAGAGGCUCCUCCAGGGCUCCCGCGAGGCCCAGUUGCCGGCGGUGAUGGCUGCGCCGCGCGUUUCUACCACGAGAGGGUGGUGGACCACUACGACAACCCCCGCAACGUCGGCUCUCUCGACAAAACGACCCCUCCGUUGGUACCGGACUCGUCGGCGCUCCCGCCUGUGGUGACAUCAUGAAGCUCCAGAUUAAGGUCGACGAGCAGGGGAAGAUUACUGACGCCGUCUUCAAGACCUUUGGCUGUGGAUCCGCCAUCGCCUCAUCUUCAGUCGCUAUGGAAUGGGUGAAGGGGAGGCAAAUGGAGGAGGUCCUGACGAUUAAGAACACGUGAGUUCUUGGUUCCUGUUUAUGUUUUUAUUGAAUUGCUUUUGUUUGAGUUGUUUUGGAUGUUGUGUGCUCGACACGGUCGCAUAGUUUGGUGCAUGUUGUUAGGUUUGUUACUCUAAUCGUUGUAGUAUGUUUAUCCCUAUAGUAUUAGCUUGUGUAAAACCUAUUCAGCAUUCAUGGCUUAUUUAGUCACCAUAAGCAUGAUUCGUAAUAUUUCCUUACUUGACAAACAAGUAAUACACAAACACAAGAAAAUUGUUGGCAUGGUUAGGUCAAAAUUGACCUACACUAGGAAGUAUGGAGUUUCACUAUUGAACAACAGGAUUACAUGCAAGUAAAAUCACCGAGACACUGAAUCCAAACUUAUUCUUCCUUCUUUCUAGAAGCCUCAUUAACAGUCAAUUAAGCAAAAAGACAAAGUGCAAAUGCAGCUAACAAAUGAAGAUUCCCAGA